rnacentral:rRNA from 1 species
AGUGAACGCUGGCGGUAGGCCUAACACAUGCAAGUCGAACGGCAGCACAGUAAGAGCUUGCUCUUACGGGUGGCGAGUGGCGGACGGGUGAGGAAUACAUCGGAAUCUACUUUUUCGGGGGGGAUAACGUAGGGAAACUGACGCUAAUACCGCAUACGACCUACGGGUGAAAGCAGGGGAUCUUCGGACCUUGCGCGAUUGAAUGAGCCGAUGUCGGAUUAGCUAGUUGGCGGGGUAAAGGCCCACCAAGGCGACGAUCCGUAGCUGGCCUGAGAGGAUGAUCAGCCACACUGGAACUGAGACACGGUCCAGACUCCUACGGGAGGCAGCAGUGGGGAAUAUUGGGCAAUGGGCGCAAGCCUGAUCCAGCCAUACCGCGUGAGUGAUGAAGGCCUUCGGGUUGUAAAGCCCUUUUGUUGGGAAAGAAAAGCAGCAUGUUUAUCCCCCGCUGUUCUGACGGUACCCAAAGAAUAAGCACCGGCUAACUUCGUG